rnacentral:misc_RNA from 1 species
GUUAUUUUAAUAGAUGAAACUAGUAAAAAAGUUAACAAAAAGUUUGAGUUAUGCAUAAAGACUCUUGAAAGUAAGGGUUUUAGGCCAAGUAAAAGUAAAACAGAAUAUAUGCAUUGUGAGUUUAACUCUAAUAGAAGUAAUGGAGUUGAGGUUCAAUUGGAUGGAGUCUUGGUGGCAAAAUGCAAUAAAUUCAAGUAUUUAUGUUAUAUCAUCCAAAAGAACGAAAUAAUAAAUGAGAAUGUAGCUCAUAGGAUCAAAAUAGGAUAGAUGAAAUGAAGGAGUGCGACAAGUGUGCUAUGCGACCAUAGGAUCUAACGAAAUGAACAGUAAGUUCUAUAGAACCAUGGUCAACCUAACUAUGUUGUAUGGGAG